UACGUAGGGUGCGAGCGUUGUCCGGAAUUAUUGGGCGUAAAGAGCUCGUAGGCGGUCUGUCGCGUCGAUCGUGAAAACUUGGGGCUUAACCCUGAGCUUGCGGUCGAUACGGGCAUGACUGGAGUUCGGCAGGGGAGACUGGAAUUCCCGGUGUAGCGGUGAAAUGCGCAGAUAUCGGGAAGAACACCCGUGGCGAAGGCGGUUCUCUGGGACGGUACUGACGCUGAGACGCGAAAGCGUGGGAGCGAACAGG
rnacentral:rRNA from 1 species